GAUGAACGCUGGCGGCGUGCCUAAUACAUGCAAGUCGAGCGAACAGACGAGGAGCUUGCUCCUUUGACGUUAGCGGCGGACGGGUGAGUAACACGUAGGUAACCUACCUAUAAGACUGGGAUAACUUCGGGAAACCGGAGCUAAUACCGGAUAAUAUUUCGAACCGCAUGGUUCGAUAGUGAAAGAUGGCUUUGCUAUCACUUAUAGAUGGACCUGCGCCGUAUUAGCUAGUUGGUAAGGUAACGGCUUACCAAGGCAACGAUACGUAGCCGACCUGAGAGGGGGAACGCCCACACUGAAACUGAGCAACGGCCCAGAUCCUGAGGGAGGGCAGAGGUGGGAAACCUUCGGAAAUGGGGGAAAGCCUGAGGGAGAAACGCGGGGUGGGUAAUGAAGGUCUUCGGACGGUAAAACUUUGUAUUAGGGAAGAACAAACGUGUAAGUAACUGUGCACGUCUUGACGGUACCUAAUCAGAAAGCCACGGCUAACUACGUG
rnacentral:rRNA from 1 species